GACAACAUUCGGAAACGGAUGCUAAUACCCCAUAGGUUGGAUUGGUCGCAUGACGAAUUCAUUAAAGGUGGCUUUGCUACCACUCAUGGAUAGCCUCGCGGCGUAUUAGCUAGUUGGUAAGGUAAUGGCUUACCAAGGCAGUGAUACGUAGCCGACUUGAGAGGGUGAUCGGCCACACUGGGACUGAGACACGGCCCAG
rnacentral:rRNA from 1 species